UUGCAGCUUAUUAAGCCGACUAGUUUUGCUGCCGUGUGUUUCUAGUGUGCAAAAGCUGCAGACAUGAAUUCUUUGGUGUGUAUGUCCUCAGCUGUGAGGUGCUGAGUUCAUUAAGGGACCAAUGAAACAUCA